CCAGCCUGGGUACCUCCAAGGGUCACUUUCUGAGGCUCCAUCCAGGCGACUAGGGGAACACAGGGUUCAGCCCCAGGAUGUACCUGCUCCUUUCCACACCAUUGGAGAGAGAGCCGGGCCUUGAGUCUGCGCCACAUAUUCCUACUGCGUCUCCGAGUCCUGUGGACAAUCACCGAGGAGACAAACUUGUGGGACACAUCU